CACUCACACUGGGUUGAUAUUUGGCUGGAUAUAGAAUUCUAUGUUUGCAGUAACUUUCCCUUAGGAGUUUAAAGGUAAUGCUUCUCUAUCUGCUCGUAUUAUAUUGGGUCUGUCAUCAAAACAG